rnacentral:rRNA from 1 species
UUCAGAGGUCCCGAGCGUUGUUCUGAUUUACUUGUCGUAAAGGGAGCGUAGGCGGUUCGGUAUGUCGAAUGUGAAAGCCCACAACUCAACUGUGGAAAUGCAUUCGAAACUGCCGGGCUAGAGUACUGGAGAGGAGAGCGGAAUUCUUGGUGUAGCGGUGAAAUGCGUAGAUAUCAAGAGGAACACCGGUGGCGAAGGCGGCUCUCUGGACAGAUACUGACGCUGAGGCUCGAAAGCGUGGGGAGCAAACAGGAUUAGAUA